rnacentral:rRNA from 1 species
GACGAACGCUGGCGGCGUGCUUAACACAUGCAAGUCGAGCGGCGCGGCGAACGGGUGAGUAACGCGUGAGUAACUGCCCCCCUCUCUGGGAUAACAGUUGGAAACGGCUGCUAAUACCGGAUAGUGGGGGGGGACUCGGGUCAUAUCAGCUUGUUGGUGGGGUAGUGGCCUACCAAGGCUACGACGUGUAGCCGGCCUGAGAGGGCGACCGGCCACAUUGGGCGGAGAUACGGCCGAAACUCCGACGGGAGGCAGCAGUGGGGAAUAUUGCAGAAGGGGGGAAACUGUAAUGCAGCAACGCCGCGUGCGGGAUGACGGCCUUCGGGUUGUAAACCGCUUUCAGCCAUGACGCGGUAGUGGCAGAAGAAGCACCGGCUAACUACGUGCCAGCAGCCGCGGUAAUUC